GAGUUUGAUCCUGGCUCAGAACGAACGCUGGCGGCAGGCUUAACACAUGCAAGUUGAACGCGUGUAGCAAUACACGAGUAGCGCACGGGUGAGUAACGCGUGGGAAUAUGCCCUUCAGUACGGAAUAACGUCGGGAAACUGACGCUAAUACCGUAUAAUGUCUACGGACCAAAGAUUUAUCGCUGAAGGAUUAGCCCGCGUUGGAUUAGCUAGUUGGUGAGGUAACGGCUCACCAAGGCGAUGAUCCAUAGCUGGUCUGAGAGGAUGAUCAGCCACACUGGGACUGAGACACGGCCCAGACUCCUACGGGAGGCAGCAGUGAGGAAUAUUGGACAAUGGGGGAAACCCUGAUCCAGCCAUGCCGCGUGAGUGAUGAAGGCCCUCGGGUUGUAAAGCUCUUUUAUCCCUGAAGAUAAUGACGGUAAGGGAAG
rnacentral:rRNA from 1 species